rfam:Rhizobium sp. Root564 contig_11, whole genome shotgun sequence.
UAGGCUUGCUGUAGCUCCGCAGCGGCGCCUGGGAUAGUAUCCGCAUAACGGUCUUAUCCCGACACCGUAGCAACUUCGGAGCUAAA